rnacentral:rRNA from 1 species
UACGUAGGGGGCUAGCGUUGUCCGGAAUCAUUGGGCGUAAAGCGCGUGUAGGCGGUCCGGUAAGUCCGCUGUGAAAGUCGAGGGCUCAACCCUCGAAUGCCGGUGGAUACUGUCGGGCUAGAGUGCGGAAGAGGCGAGUGGAAUUCCUGGUGUAGCGGUGAAAUGCGCAGAUAUCAGGAGGAACACCUAUUGCGAAGUCAGCUCGCUGGGACGUUACUGACGCUGAGACGCGAAAGCGUGGGGAGCAAACAGG